rnacentral:rRNA from 1 species
UAUUUAUUUUAUUAUAUUUAUUUUUUGUUUAUUUAAUUAUUUAAUAAAAAUAAUUUUGUUGAAUUUUGUCUUAGUAUAUUUUGUGGAAUUGAUUUUUUAGAUUAUAGCUUAUUGGUAAUGUAAUUGUUUUAUGAAAUAUUAUUUUAAAUUUUUAAAAGUAGAUUUUAUUUAUUGUACCUUUUGUAUCAGGGUUUAUCAAAAUUUUAGUAUUUAUUUUACUUGUCUCGAUUUGGGUUGAUUUAUAAAUAAUUUAUAGUUAAUGUAUCAUAAUUAUUAUUAAAUUAUUUAUAGAAAUGAGAUGUUAAUCGUUUCCCAAGAUAUCUAGUUUCUUAAGAAAAAAUUUAAUUUUUUAAAGUUAAUUGUUUCUAUUUAAUUUUUUAAGUAUUAAUAUUAACUUAUUUAUUCUUUAAGGGAUAAGCUUUGAAGUUAAUAACCUAUAAUUUGUUUUAAUAAAAUAUAAUAGUAAGCUUUAGACCAGCUAUCUUUAAGAUUACGUUUUAGUUCAUUAUUUUUUAUUUUGAUUUUAUAAUUAUUUUAGGUUUUUUAUUAAGAUUAUUUAUUUAAUUUUAAAAUUUUUGAAAUAAUGAUAGAAUUAGUAUAUUUAUUUGUAUAUAAUUUUUACCUUGUGAAUUUAUUAUAAGGAACUAGGC